GGGGCGGAGCCAGCGGCCGCCUGCCCGCCUCCUCGCCUGGCUGGGGCGGUCCGGGCGCCGGGGCACACUGCAAUUGGCCCGUGGGGGAGCAGGGCGUUGCCCUUCCUACGCCGCCAUUGGUCCGCUCCGUAGCUGGGCGGUGCUCUGGCCGCGCCGCCAUUGGCCGGUAGUGAAGGAGGGCGGUGCCGUGGCCCCAGCAACAGCGCGCGGCAGUAGGACGCGUAGCGCUGCAGGGGAAACCCUGGCGCCCAGACGGUGGUAGGGUCUGUGUCUGUGUGCGGCUUCUCGGGCCUGAGAGCUAGAGGAAGCGAUGGCCCGGCCUGGGUGUCCGCAGCUGCCUGGUACUUGGCAUCGCAUCUGCGGCAGCCCCUCGAUUUUUCAAGCCCACCUCGAAUUUGCUGUCUUCAAGCGCUGACUGACUGGAGCCGACAUGGAAAUAAUAUCCAGGCUCCCUUCACCCUUAGGUGAGGUAACUCUGUGCUGCUCUUUAAGCUCCGGUUACUGACUGUGGUAUUUUCUUGGUUGCACCAUUUCCUGGCUUCUUUCCCUGUAUCUCCUUCCAGCUUCCUUCUGAUAUGUGCUGGAAUUAACUCUCAACUAAAUUACGUCCACUCUAAGUCCUGCCUCAGCAUCUUCUUCUGGGCAAUUGAGACGAAGUCCUGACUUAUAAAAUUUGAGAACUGAGAUUCAGGAGCGGGGGGAGGAGGGGCUUGUUGUGAGCAACAUAGUAAAUGGCAGAGUCAAA